UGUUGCCUGCAAGGGCGUAUGGUGGAUGCCUUGGCAGACAGGACCGAUGAAGGACGUUUGAGGCUGCGAUAUGCCUCGGGGAGCCGCCAACAGGGCUUUGAUCCGAGGAUUUCCGAAUGGGGGAACCCACCGGCCGUCAUGGGCCGGUACCGCCGUGUGCGGGGGGUACGCAGGGAAGUGAAACAUCUCAGUACCUGCAGGAAAGGAUAUUCCGUGAGUAGUGGCGAGCGAAAGCGGAUCAGGCCAAACCUUGCGCGUGUGAUACCCGUCGGGGGUUGCGCGCGGGGUGUAGAGGGAUCGCGUUUGCCGGCUCCGACGGGCCGGCCGUCAGUUGCAUAAAACCAUGUGCCAGGGGAACCGGGUUGAAUACCGGGCCGCAGAGGGUGAGGGCCCCGUACCCGAACGCGCAUGGUCUGGCGAUCGCGUCUCCCAAGUAGCACGGGCCCCGUGGAAUCCCGUGCGAAUCUGUCCCGACCGUGGGAUAAGCCUAAAUAUUCCUGUCUGACCGAUAGCGAACGAGUACCGUGAGGGAAAGGUGAAAAGUACCCCGGGAGGGGAGUGAAACAGUCUCUGAAACCAUGCGCCUACGAACCGUCGGGGCCCUCUUGUGGGGUGACGGCGUGCCUAUCGAAAAAUGAGUCUGCGAGUCAGUGGCAUGUGGCGAGCAUAACCCGUGUGGGGUAUGCGUAGCGAAGGCGAGUCUUAAAAGGCGUUUGAGUCGCGUGUCCUGGACCCGAAGCGGGAUGAUCUAGCCCUGAGCAGGUUGAAGCGCGGGUAAGACCGUGUGGAGGACCGAACCCACCUGGGUUGAAAACCGGGGGGAUGACUUGGGGCUAGGGGUGAAAGGCCAAUCAAAUUCCGUGAUAGCUGGUUCUCUCCGAAAUGCAUUUAGGUGCAGCGUCGGAUCGAUUACAUCCGGGGGGUAGAGCGACUGGAUGCUUGCGGGCCCAUAUCGGGUACCAACAGCAACCAAACUCCGAAUACCCGUGAUGCGUAUCCCGGCAGUGAGUCGGCGGGGGAUAAGCUCCGUCGUCGAAAGGGAAACAGCCCAGAUCGUCGUCUAAGGUCCCCAAGCGUGUGCUAAGUGGGAAAGGAUGUGGAGUCGCAUAGACAGCCAGGAGGUUGGCUCAGAAGCAGCCACCCUUGAAAGAGUGCGUAACAGCUCACUGGUCUAGUGGUUCCGCGCCGACAAUGUAGCGGGGCUCAAGCACACCACCGAAGACGCGGCAGUAGCUUUGCUACUGGGUAGGAGAGCGUCCCAUGCGGGGCGAAGCGGCGGCGCAAGCCCGCCGUGGACCGCAUGGGAGUGAGAAUGCAGACAUGAGUAGCGAAAGACGGGUGAAGAUCCCGUCCGCUGGACGACCAAGGGUUCCAGGGCCACGUUCAUCGUCCCUGGGUGAGUCGGGUCCUAAGGCGAGGCCGACAGGCGUAGUCGAAUGGACGAACGGGUCGAUAUUCCCGUACCGGCAUGCAACCGGCAAAACCGAAUCCGCGAGUACUAACCUCCGGGUCCGGGCUCACGUCUCCUUCGGGAGCCGGAUGCCCUGGCCUGUUGGGACCGUAACGGUAGUAGGUCAGCGCGGGAGUGACGCAGAAGGGUAGCCGGCCGCGGAGGUGGUCUUCCGUGGUCAAGCACGCAGCCCGUCCCACAGGCAAAUCCGUGGGGCGCGUGGGCGAGGUGCGAUGAUGGGCGCCGCAGGGCGCGAUAUCCGGUGAUCCCGGCUGCCGAGAAAAGCUUCGGCGUGAGGCGGCAUGCCGCCCGUACCCCAAACCGACACUGGUGGUCAGGUAGAGAAUACCAAAGCGAUCGAGCGAAUCCUGGUCAAGGAACUCGGCAAAUCACUCCCGUUCCUUCGGUUUAAGGGAGACCCCCGAUGGUGAACACACUUGCUGUGGGAGCUUUUGGGGGUGGCACAGACCAGGGGGUAGCGACUGUUUACCAAAAACACAGGAGCGUGCGAAGGCGCAAGCCGCUGUAUACGCUCUGACGCCUGCCCGGUGCCGGAAGGUUAAGAGGAUCCGUCAGGCCUCGGCCGAAGCGGUGAAUUCAAGCCCCGGUAAACGGCGGUGGUAACUAUAACCAUCCUAAGGUAGCGAAAUUCCUUGUCGGGUAAGUUCCGACCUGCACGAAUGGCGU
rnacentral:rRNA from 1 species